rnacentral:rRNA from 1 species
AUGGGGCGUGCUAAGGGAAUAGAUGACGCAUAUGUGCAAGAAGUACUAUCUCUGCACGAUGAUUUUUGUGUUCUGCAAAAAGAUAUUACUCAGGUGCAGUCACAUGUGUCCAAAUUGCAAGCAGAAGUACAACCAAUUGGUUCAAAACAAGGGGAAAUUUCAUUUACUGUUGAAGAGGUAGAAAAAGUGGUAUUAGAUCUGGGUAAACAUCCAUCAGUGAUCAGUAAUGUUUUGCAGACAUUGGUCAAAACAACUCAGCAAGUUCGGCACUCAGAUCAGCCUUCUAGUUCCCAAGGAGUGCCCAAAUCCCCUACACUGAACCAAGAUCAAACACAAGAACGGGAAGCAAGAAUGGAACAAUUAAGACCACAACUAGCAGCAGAGAAAUAG